GGCCAGGAAGAGGAGGAAGCCCUGGAGGGGCUGGAGGUGAUGGAUGUUUUCCUCCGGUUCUCAGGGCUCCACCUUUUCCGGGCC
rfam:Sus scrofa isolate TJ Tabasco breed Duroc chromosome 18, whole genome shotgun sequence.